rnacentral:rRNA from 1 species
AUUGAACGCUGGCGGCAUGCUUUACACAUGCAAGUCGAACGGCAGCGCGGGCUUCGGCCUGGCGGCGAGUGGCGAACGGGUGAGUAAUACAUCGGAACGUGCCCAGUAGUGGGGGAUAGCUCGGCGAAAGCCGGAUUAAUACCGCAUACGACCUGAGGGUGAAAGCGGGGGAUCUUCGGACCUCGCGCUAUUGGAGCGGCCGAUGGCAGAUUAGCUAGUUGGUGGGGUAAAGGCCUACCAAGGCGACGAUCUGUAGCUGGUCUGAGAGGACGACCAGCCACACUCGGACUGAGACACGGCCCAGACUCCUACGGGAGGCAGCAGUGGGGAAUUUUGGACAAUGGGCGAAAGCCUGAUCCAGCAAUGCCGCGUGUGUGAUGAGGGCCUUCGGGUUGUAAAGCACUUUUGGCGGGAACGAAAAGGACUGUGCCAAUACCACGGUUCGAUGACGGUACCCGCAGAAUAAGCACCGGCUAACUACGU